UCUGGAUGGCGGACUGGCGCAUCUCUUGGAGAUCCUCGUCCUGUGAAGGAAAAUCCAAAGGAGUCAUACACCUGUGUUGGAAACUCUCUGAUCUACCAAGGAAAUUAAUUUUGGGUUGACACCGGGGACAGAGAGAGAGGAAGGAACUGCUUCGGGAAACUCACCGUAAUGCGGCCUUGCUCUGCCCCUCCCGGCGAGGUCGCUGUGGUGCGUCGCCGUCUACUUUCAGGAACCCGGGGUUUGACAAAAACCACGUAAGGCUUGAACUCCGCCGUCCGUAGCCUUCUCAAGGCCUGCAGCAUCAGCUUUACCGAUCAGAACCACCAGUCGAGGCCUCUCGUUGGGCCGCUGCUGGUAGCGGGUCACCUCCUCGUAGGUCAGGAACUCAGAGUCUCCCGGGUCAGAGCCGUCACUUGAGGAGCCUUGUCGGUCUUUCCGACUCAGGCGGAAGCUCCUGCGCAGGCCGGCUGAUUCGGAAAUGGUCGGGGUGACAGAAACAGAUGGCAUGGAAAAAAAAAAAAAAGGAUUCAUGUAGGACUGAAAACUAUGCCUCAGACAAGUCGUUCAGCAUCGUAGCGUUUCGGCGCACAAUCUUCACCGACUCCUCCUCCAGGUCAUCAUCGUAGUCGUCUGGCAGCGGCGGCAGGACGGGAUCGAAACUCUUCUGAGCCACCGUGUCGUGCACGGACAGAAGGGCCUGGCAGUGUACCACAACACCGCGACUUCAAUUACAACGACAAAAAGUGCAUCUAUGAUUGACACGUGAGGAGACUAAUGACAGGUACGCCAAGCUUCUCUCGCUGAAGACAUCCUUGAGGAAGACCAUGUCCUCCUUGUGGUUGGCAUCGGGCCUCAGCUGUGAGG